GUGCUUCGGCAGCACGUAUACUAAAAUUGGAACGAUACAGGGAAGAUUAGCGUGGCCCCUGUGUAAGGAUGACACGCAAAUUUGUGAAGCAUUCCAUAUUUUU